CAGUCGCCGCGGGAAUACGAAGGGGGCUAGCGUUGCUCGGAAUCACUGGGCGUAAAGGGUGCGUAGGCGGGUCUUUAAGUCAGGGGUGAAAUCCUGGAGCUCAACUCCAGAACUGCCUUUGAUACUGAAGAUCUUGAGUUCGGGAGAGGUGAGUGGAACUGCGAGUGUAGAGGUGAAAUUCGUAGAUAUUCGCAAGAACACCAGUGGCGAAGGCGGCUCACUGGCCCGAUACUGACGCUGAGGCACGAAAGCGUGGGGAGCAAACAGGACUAGAUACCCCUGUAGUCCCUGUCUCUUAUAC
rnacentral:rRNA from 1 species